rnacentral:ribozyme from 13 species
UUUCUCUUUCCAUCGAAUCCAGUUUCGUUGGGUCUAUUCCUUUUGGUGGGUAGCUGACAUAACAUUGUAGUGGAAUGUCGGUUUUGGAGACAUAGCAUUGUAGUGAUGAGAUGUCAGUUUGGGGUGAGGUUGUUGGUCCUUGUUUACCACGAAGUACUCUAAGAAAGAAAGAAAGAAAGAAAGAAAAGAAGGGUGUUAUUUUUUUAUAAUAUAAUUAUUUAUGGGCAAUAUAUUAUAGUUUUUCCUAAAGAACAAAUGAAUGGCAACAUCAAGAAAUAUAUCCAUAUUUCAGUAAUGAGUCGAAUGUGCUCAUAUUUUUUGCAAAUGCUUUCA